CUCCUGAGUAGCCGGGAUUAUAGGAGCCCACCACCACGCCUGGCUAUUUUUAAUUUUUGUAUUUUUUAGUAGAGACGGGGUUUCACCAUGUUGUCCAGGCUGGUUUGGGACUCCUGACUUCAAGUGAUCUGCCCGCCUCAGCCUCCCAAAGUGCUGGGAUUACAGGUGUGAGCUACUGUGCCUGGACAGAAAAGACAGACUUUCAAUGGAUUACAUGAUUACAGCUGUGAUAAUUACUAUAAAGGAGGAGAGGGUGCCAUGAGGCCCCAGUCUGGGGUUCAAGGAGGGAUUCCCUGAGGAAGUGGCAUUUGAACUAAGGUUUAAACUUUAUAAUCUAAAGGACAGGCAGGAAUUAAUUACACCAUUGCAGUGCUGACUGUAAAAAAAAAAAAUUAAACCAGAGAUUCUUAAAUUUGAGUGUGCAUUACCACUACCUACAGGGCCUACUAAAAUACAGGUAAAUGGGCCCAGCCCCUGAGUUUCUGAUCUAUCGACUGUGGGGUGGGACCUGAGAAACUGCAUUUCUAACAAGCUCCCAGGUAAUGUUGAUGCUGCUGGUCCCCCACAGUUUGACAACCACUGAGUUGGACAAGGAAGGAGAGGAAGAGGAGCAGAGAUUUCCAAGCAACAGGACAGCUUGCGUGAUGGCCUGAGAUGAGCACAUUGAGGCCCCUAGAGGGCAAGCACCCGCUUCAAAUCUCAGGGACAGUCAUGGCCGAGUGUGAGGGGAACUCAGGCUCUCUGAGACCUGGGCCUGGCUGUCCCCUCCCUGGGAGAGAAUUCAAAGUCUGGAGUCUUUCCUGAGAUCCCCCAGGUGGGAGUCUGAGACACAGAGAAGGGACACUAAAGACUGGCUUCCUGUCCUGGGCUCUUGGGUCAAUGACAGAGAGAAGCAAGCCUGGGCCCAUCAAAGCCUCUGGGUGCAAGGUCUGGCGUGGCUGGGCAGGAAAGAGCUGCCUUCAAAAGCUGCCUCCUCCAAAGUGCAGCAGCCUCUGCCUUGGGGAAUCCCAGGGAAGGGAAUCCUCCCACCUCCACCUCACAGACGCAGCUGGAACCUCUGCACAGGCAAAGGGACAAUGUUAAGAUCAUUCCAGUGUCCUGAAGCUCCUGCAGACCUCAGGAUCUGGAUCCUGGCUCCUGUACACCAGGGAGGAAAAGAAGAGCCCUGCCUUCUCGAGAACUCUCACUGACAGAGGCAUAAGCCGAGGGAGGAACAGAAGAAGCCAUUCCCAAGGCCCAGCUUGUGGGCAGAGAGUGACCACCCUGCUACCUACUUUACUCCGAGGCUGCCCUGUCCCUAAUAAUCCUUCCAGACUCUGGGAGUGUCCAUGCCUCCAGGGCUCACAAGAGGUGGGUGGCCAGGAUGGAACCAACCUAGGGACUCCCUCUGUGCUCUCUUUCCAACUUCAAGCCCAAAUCAGAUGGGGACCCAGGCCAGCCCCACUGAAGAAGUGACUGUCGGCUAAAGGGACCACCGGAGGAGAUUGUGUGGGCCAGGUGUACCUGUGCCAAGACUAAGAUGAGUAUAUUUGGGAAGAGCAGAAGGAAACAGCGAGUAUCUUUAACAACAAUCACAAAGUACAAUUUCUAACAAACACCCUACUUCCUUCUUUCUAUGUAUCUAUUCAUUGCUUGCUGGAGACUAGCAGUCAGAAUGAGGCUAGGUCAAGGCAUCCAUCCCCAGGGGGGCCAGUUUUGCUGGGAGAGCGUGGGUGGCCCAGAGCACCCCUGCCCAUGGUGGCCUGGAUGACCCCUCAUAGGGCAGCAUAGUGGUCAAUUGUUCAUCACUGUGACCCUGAGUGUACAUCUUCUAUUGAAUACAAGAUCCUUCCUCCUGUUCUCUGAUCGACCCCCAUUUGGGUCAGUGGAGACUCAGAGAAGUGAAGCGAUUUGCUCAAGGUCACACAGCCCGUGGAUGGAAGCUGGUAGGGCAGUGCCUGCCAGGACCACAAGGUCUAUUGAGGAAUGAGGCUGGGGAGGCCCCUGCUAUGUGUCUGGAGGGGAUCCUGUGUGCCAGCAUCACAGGAAAGGGAGUCCAGAGCCCUUGGGAAAGGGAGUGGGUGCUGAGGCCGUUUCGCUCACCUUUGCGACUCAGAAGGAGUGAGGGUCAGGAUGCCACUCCGUAAUUAACUGGGCCCAGCACCCCCGGGCCUUGUUCCUUGGGGUCUACUUGGAGGCUCUGGGGGCAUCACUUGGGGUCUUGAGCCAGGACCUGUGUCCGGGCAGCAAAGGACUCAGGGAAGAGUGGAGGGCCAAAUGGGAGUUGGUGAAGUCUCUGGGGACAGUGGGCUCGUGGCCAGGGUGGAAGAGACACAGGCUGAGAGGGCCGUCCAGUUCAACCCGCUGGUUUUAGGGUCACAUAGGACAGAGUGGGGUAUAAGAGCAUGAGUUCUGAGUCAAACAGACCUGGACCUGAGUCCUGUGUGACUCUGGACAAAUGGCUUCAUCUCUCUGAGCCUUACCUUCCUCAUCUGUAAAAUGGGAUGAUCAAUGAACCCUCCAGGGUCUAUGGUGAGGAAGAAAGGAGGUGGUGGGUUCAGUUCCUAAGUGCCCACUAAUACCUCCUCCUGUUAUCAAUACUGGCAGUUGCUCUCAUUACUACAGGUAACUCGAGUCACAAUAGCAGUAACAACUCAAGCUCCUUAGUCCUGGAAGAGGCUUCCUUCCACUGGACCAGUGAGUCUCAGCUGGCUGUGAUUUUGCCCCCUGCCAGGGGACUGCUGGCACUGUCUGGCAACAUUUUUGGUUGUCACAAUUUGGGGGUUGCUACUGGCAUCUAGGGGACAGAGGUCAGGGAUGCCACUAAACAUCCCGCUACAACAAAGAAAUAUCGAGCCCAAAAUGCAAUAGUGCGAGAUUGAGAAACUCUGCACUAGACCUGUUCUGUCCCGGUGUCACUGGCUCACGGUGGCCAGUGAGCACCUGAGAUGCACUCAAUCUACGCUGAGAUGUGCUGAAGUGUAAAAUGUGCACUGGAUUACAAAGACUUAGCAUGAAAAAAGGAAGGUAAACCAUUUCCUUAAUAAUUUUUAUAUUGAUUGCAUGUUGAAAUGAUAAUAUUCUAAAAUAUUGGGUUAAACAAAAUAUAUUAUUAAAAUUAUGCCUGUUGUUUUAACUUUAAAAAAGUGUGGACUACUAGAAGAUUUAAAAUGCAAUUGUGGUUUUGUUGUGGUUCAAACUGGACUUUUCUG
rnacentral:lncRNA from 10 species